AGCUCCAAAGACCCUUGGGCUGACAGAGCAGGUUCUCAUUUCUCAGCUCUUUCCCUUAUCACUUGCAGUGAACUCUGCCCCCAGGAGCAGAGUAUCCAGUUCUGUGUCCAAGCACUCUAUGAAUCUUUACCCUUGUUGAAGAAAUACUCAGAGACAGAAGCAUUUAGAAAAGGAAAAGUUUACCUGCAAAGAGAGCAAGAGAAUGACUGGCUUGCCUAAUAAAAAACGGUGCAACGUCUUUCUUUUCUGAUGGUGAUUGAUAUAGUUUGGCUGUGUCCCCACCCAAAUCUCAUCUUGAAUUCCCAUGUGUUGUUGGAGGGACCUGGUGGGAGGUAACUAAAUCAUGGGGGCAAGUCUUUCCCGUGCUGUUCUUGUGAUAGUGAGGAAGUCUCACGAGAUCUUUUGGUUAUUAUAAGAGGGAGUUUUCCUGCACAAGCCCUCAUUUUGCCUGCUGCCAUCUAUAUAAGAUGUGAUUUGCUGCUCCUUGCCUUCCGCCAUGAUUGUGAAGCCUCCCCAGCCAUGUGGAACUGUAAGUCCAAUAAACCUCUUUUGUAAAU
rnacentral:lncRNA from 10 species